GUGGGGGAUAUUGCACAAUGGGGGAAACCCUGAUGCAGCGACGCCGCGUGAAGGAAGACGUACUUCGGUAUGUAAACUUCUAUCAGCAGGGAAGAAGAUGACGGUACCUGACUAAGAAGCCCCGGCUAACUACGUGCCAGCAGCCGCGGUAAUAUGUAGGGGGCAAGCGUUAUCCGGAUUUACUGGGUGUAAAGGGAGCGUAGACGGUGAAGCAAGUCUGAUGUGAAAACCCGGGGCUCAACUCCGGGAUUGCAUUGGAAACUGUUUUACUUGAGUGCUGGAGGGGCAAGCGGAAUUCCUGGUGUAGCGGUGAAAUGCGUAGAUAUCAGGAAGAACACCGGUGGCGAAGGCGGCUUGCUGGACAGUAACUGACGUUGAGGCUCGAAAGCGUGGGGAGCAAACAGGAUUAGAAACCCGAGUAGUCC
rnacentral:rRNA from 1 species